UGACCCGUAGCUCAAUGGUAGAGCAGUCGGCUGUUAACCGACGGGUUCCCGGUUCGAGUCCGGGCGGGUCAGCCA
rnacentral:tRNA from 1 species